rnacentral:rRNA from 1 species
UACGUAGGGUGCAAGCGUUGUCCGGAUUUAUUGGGCGUAAAGAGCUCGUAGGCGGUCUGUCGCGUCGGAUGUGAAAACCCAGGGCUCAACCCUGGGCCUGCAUUCGAUACGGGCAGACUAGAGUAUGGCAGGGGAGACUGGAAUUCCUGGUGUAGCAGUGAAAUGCGUAGAUAUCAGGAGGAAUACCGAUGGCGAAGGCAGGUCUCUGGGCUGACACUGACGCUCAUGCACGAAAGCGUGGGGAGCAAACAGG